rnacentral:ncRNA from 1 species
UUAUUUUGAGGGGGAAAGGUUCCCCACGCGCUUACCCCUUGGGUAAGUUACCAGAGAUCAGGAUUACCGCCCUGCAAAAUAA